CGGUCCCUGACGGGCAGACCGGUCCCUGACGGGCAGAUCGGUCCCUCGCUGCGUAACAGCCGAAAAACUCAAAAAUUUGGCUAAGUCCUGGAAAACCCCGUUCGGGAACCGGUCCCUGGUCGGGGAGACCGGUCCCCGAAGGCGAAAAUUGCCCAGUCUGGGCAGAUUGAUGGGAAACAAGUGGAGGGGCUUAUGUGCAAUUGUUACAACACUAUAUGUGGCCCAUCCCCUCUCUCCCACAGCCAUUUCACUCCUUCUCACCCAUUUCCUCACUUUCUCUCUCUAGAAUCCCUCUAGGGCUUGGAGAAGAAGAAGAAGAGCUUGAGGAAGAAGGUGGAUUUGGAGCUUUGGAGGUUCUAGGAGCUCUCCAACAAGAAGAACCUUGGUGGAGCUUGGACUAGAGGUAAGUUUUGUGAGGUUUUCCUCUAGGGUUUGGAUUUUGGUUAAGAGAUUUGGAGCUUUGUGCUCCUUAGAGGUUUUAGAAGCUCUUUUGAGCCAUGGACACCAUGGAACCCAUGAGAGCUCAAGGUGCUCUCAUGGUGAAUCCUUGGAGAUGAUGUUUGGAGCCCUAGGGUUGGUACCAAAGGUCUAGAAACCUUAUUAGGAUGCUUCUUAGAUGAUCCUAUGCUAUUCUUUGCGUAGGGUUGGGAUCGAUUUAUGGGAAAACCCUAAAUGGCAAGAUUAGGGCUUGAAUUUGGGGUUUUUGCCCUAGGAUUUUUCGGGGACAAAUUGACCCCGUAGAAACCCAAUUGGGGGUGCCCAAAACACGUUGGACAACUUCGUUUAAUAUUUCGAAAAUGUUAGAGUAUAGUUCAUGUACAAAAAGGCCUAAUAUGGCACUAUUUGAUUAUAGGGCGCGGAAUCGGCUUUCGUAAAGUGCGGGGGCCUUAAUAUUCUACACCCACACGACUCAUAGAGGUGGGGGGUGCACGCCGGAAUCGUUGGAUUCCCCUCUAUGUCUGUUUCUCUAUUUUUGAGCAUAUAUAUAUAUAUCCAUUCAUGCAUAGUAGGGUAGCUACAUGUGGAACUUGGUUUGACUUCAUUUUUAUGCUUCUAACGUAGUUGAACAUAGAGAAUGAUAGGACCAAAACGGACAUGUGUGAUUGGACCCUCGAGAUGUGUGAAUGUAAGAAUGGACUUGGACAUUAGAAAACAAGGGUGUCAUUGACAUAGAAACAAGAAUUGCAUUGAGAGAUGACCGUUGAAAAUAGUUUGACCCAUAGUGACAUGGUCGAAGAUAAGGCCUUGAAAGUGGCAAAAAUAAAUAGGUAGAGACCUAUCGUGAUAUUGGCAUUGUGACUAGUGGCUAUGAAUCCUCAAGUUGAGGAUUAGAUCGACACUCACCUUUCGUCUUGGCUUGAGGGAGGUCGCUCCCCCUCGAGCGGUGCGCUCCGGAGUUGGUCACCACUGGGCGUGGUAAAGUCCCACCAGUUGACGGUCCCUAGGGAGGUUCGAGUCCCCCGUUAUUAAGGGAUUUUGGGUUGUGAGUCAUUGGGGUUAACAGAGUUAACCGGCAAGAUUGGGUAAGAGCCAAAGUUUGAUCAUGAUUGGAGCAUGCAUGCAUUUCC
rnacentral:lncRNA from 1 species